AGCUCCAAUAGCCAAUAGCGUAUAUUAAAAUUGUUGCGGUUAAAAAGCUCGUAGUUGGAAUUCUGCCGAGGACGAGGUGUCUAAAGCUGAGGUAAUGAUUAAUAGGGAUAGUUGGGGGCAUUUGUAUUUUAUUGUCAGAGGUGCAAUUCUUGGAUUUGUUAAAGACGGACUACUGCGAACGCAUUUGCCAAGGAUGUUUUCA
rnacentral:rRNA from 1 species